GACGAACGCUGGCGGCGUGCCUAACACAUGCAAGUCGAACGAGAAUCAUUUGAACAGAGGCUUCGGCCGACGGGAAUUUUGAGGAAAGUGGCGAACGGGUGAGUAACGCGUGAGAAACCUGCCUUUCAGUGGGGGACAACAGUUGGAAACGACUGCUAAUACCGCAUGAUGUAGCGAGGGGGCAUCCUCUUGCUACCAAAGCUUUAUGUGCUGAAAGAUGGUCUCGCGUCUGAUUAGCUAGUUGGUGGGGUAACGGCUCACCAAGGUGACGAUCAGUAGCCGGUCUGAGAGGAUGAACGGCCACAUUGGGACUGAGAUACGGCCCAGACUCCUACGGGAGGCAGCAGUGGGGAAUAUUGGGCAAUGGGGGAAACCCUGACCCAGCAACGCCGCGUGAAGGAAGAAGUAUUUCGGUAUGUAAAGCUCUAUCAGCAGGGAAGAAAAUGACGGUACCUGACUAAGAAGCCCCGGCUAACUACGUG
rnacentral:rRNA from 1 species